AUUUCGGACCUGUUACUACUGGGCCUCACAGGUGGCCUGACUCUGUUACUGCUCCUGACACUGCUGGCCUUUGCCGGGUACUCAGGGCUGUUGGCUGGGGUGGCAGUGAGUGCCGGCUCACCCCCCAUCCCUACAAGUUCCAUGUGGAGCCCUAUGGUGAGGCUGGGUGGCUUUUCACCAGAGCUGCAGCAUCUCCCCCAAGCUCUGCUCCAUCGCUGUCCACUAGGACAACCCCACAUGGU
rnacentral:lncRNA from 1 species